rnacentral:tRNA from 2 species
GGAGUGAUACCCAAGAGGCCGAAGGGGCUCCCCUGCUAAGGGAGUAGGUGGUCAAAAGCCACGCGAGGGUUCAAAUCCCUCUCACUCCGCCA